UCCUCAGGCAACGCCUUUUGGCUUACCAAAAAAUCGGAGUUAUACCCUCUCACCGCCAUUAGCUUGAAAAUACAACGGCUAUACGAGUAAUUAUUUUAGAUUCUGAAUGUAACGAAAAAUUUAUCGGUGAAAUGAAAUCAUGCUCCGAUUUCCAACGAUAGCACAUUUUCUGAAAGGGAAUUUUCCUGAGAUUGUAUUUUAAAGAGGUCGUUUUUUGAUUUUCCCAAUAAAUG